CCGAUCUCCGCCAACAGGCUGUAGCGCGGCCGCGCCGACCCGCCGCCGCCCUCCGGCCGCCGCCGCGCCAGAAAUUCCAGUAUUCACUGGAAGAGCUUGGUCAAGCUCCCAGAGGUGAAGUUUACAAAAGUGAGGGGUCUCCUAAUCACUAGAUUCCACUGGAGUUUGUAUCGCUCAGUCUUAUCCCCGUGGAGUCUCCAGCUAUCUGUCGAUUACAGUUCAGGUUUUCCUACCCAAGGUUUCUGCGGAGGUUUCUGCUCCGCUGAAACCAUCCCAAGUGAUAUAACAUUCUUGCUCCGUGGUGUGAUGGAUUGAUUAAGUAGAAGGCUUGAAUCAGCACUACUGCCUGUGUG